CCUACGGGAGGCUGCAGUGGGGAAUAUUGCACAAUGGGGGAAACCCUGAUGCAGCAACGCCGCGUGAGUGAAGAAGUAUUUCGGUAUGUAAAGCUCUAUCAGCAGGGAAGAAAAUGACGGUACCUGAGUAAGAAGCCCCGGCUAACUACGUGCCAGCAGCCGCGGUAAUACGUAGGGGGCAAGCGUUAUCCGGAUUUACUGGGUGUAAAGGGAGCGUAGACGGCGAUACAAGUCUGAAGUGAAAGCCCGGGGCUCAACCCCGGGACUGCUUUGGAAACUGUGUUGCUGGAGUGCUGGAGAGGCAAGCGGAAUUUCUAGUGUAGCGGUGAAAUGCGUAGAUAUAAGGAAGAACACCAGUGGCGAAGGCAGAUUACUGGACGAUAACUGACGGUGAGGCGCGAAAGCGUGGGGAGCAAACAGGAUUAGAUACCCCAGUAGUC
rnacentral:rRNA from 1 species